rnacentral:lncRNA from 1 species
CUUAAAGCCUGUGCACAGAGCUCCAUAAACUUCAUGAAUGCCCUGCUCUGAGGCCUCUCAGGCCACUCUCUGACUCCCUCCAUGAUGCUCACAUGCUCCCUUCACUGUGCUCCACCAACUCCAGUGUGGUCCACAUGAACCGACCAGGACCCACAUUCAGUCCUGCCAGGCUCCCACUGAGCCUCUCACUCAGCCUCAGCACCUCAUCCUGCUCCAGCCUUCUUUUCACAUUACACAGGCUUCCUCCUUGACCUUUACAGGAUCAAAAUUGUCUUAUGUUACCCCCUCUCUGUGUGCUAGGGGGUGACAAGGUAUUUGUAUUUCAACCACAAAAGUGUGCUGCAUACUGCUGCCCCUCCACCGCAUUCACACAGGAUAUACCUGUCCCUGCCCCCCAAACUCAGGCUCAAGGCUCUGUCUGGCGAUAGAACUGCCUUCUUCCCCUUGGCCUGUCUCUGACCACUGAACUUCCUGAUCUGUCUGAGGCAUCAUAAAGUACCUCUCUCUGGGAAAGAGAGACACUUGAUGUCCAUGCUUAUGCAUUUCUCUCCUGUCCCCUCAACUAGAGGGGAUUUGUUCUCUGCUCUACAAUAACCCAUUACUGGUGUGAACACGCCUAACUUCAGGGCUGUUUUCAC